AUUGAACGCUGGCGGCAGGCCUAACACAUGCAAGUCGAACGAGUGGCGGACGGGUGAGUAAUGUCUGGGAAUCUGCCCGAUGGAGGGGGAUAACUACUGGAAACGGUAGCUAAUACCGCAUACCAUCGGAUGUGCCCAGAUGGGCUUAGCUAGUAGGUGGGGUAAAGGCUCACCUAGGCGACGCUCCCUAGCUGGUCUGAGAGGAUGACCAGCCACCCUGGAACUGAGACACGGUCCAGACUCCUACGGGAGGCAGCAGUGGGGAAUAUUGCACAAUGGGCGCAAGCCUGAUGCAGCCAUGCCGCGUGUAUGAAGAAGGCCUUCGGGUUGUAAAGUACUUUCAGCGGGGAGGCGUUACCCGCAGAAGAAGCACCGGCUAACUCCGUGCCAGCCGCCGCGGUAAUAC
rnacentral:rRNA from 1 species